UACGUAGGGGGCGAGCGUUGUCCGGAUUUAUUGGGCGUAAAGAGCUCGUAGGCGGUUUGGUAAGUCGGAUGUGAAAUCCCCAGGCUCAACCUGGGAACUGCAUCCGAUACUGGAUGGCUUGAAUUCGGGAGAGGGAUGCAGAAUUCCAGGUGUAGCGGUGAAAUGCGUAGAUAUCUGGAGGAAUACCGGUGGCGAAGGCGGCAUCCUGGACCGACAUUGACGCUGAGGAGCGAAAGCCAGGGGAGCAAACGGG
rnacentral:rRNA from 1 species